rnacentral:rRNA from 1 species
UACAGAGGGGGCGAGCGUUGUUCGGAAUUACUGGGCGUAAAGGCGCGUAGGCGGCCAACUAAGUCAGACGUGAAAUCCCUCGGCUCAACCCCGGAACUGCCUUUGAUACUGGGGUAUCUCGAGUCCGAGAGAGGUGAGUGGAAUUCCGAGUGUAGAGGUGAAAUUCGUAGAUAUUCGGAGGAACACCAGUGGCGAAAGGCGGCUCACUGGGCUCG